ACUCAAAAACAACAAAAGGUUGCCUUCUGUCCAGCCUUAGUAUGAGGCUUAUUGUGUGCACUGUUACGAAAUGUGGAGAUGGUUUUGCUCAGACAAACUUUAUUACCAGCACCAAUGAGGGGAACUGAGAAUUCUGAGACACUGCAGUUGACAUCACAGAACUCUAGCUGCUCUGUGUACUGUAUCCUUUUCCACCUUUGUCCUUAAAAGCUAUUGGAACCCUUAUAAAAAAUGCAGCUGUGUAUUUAGAGAGCAACCCUUACUUUGAAUGGUUCUUUUACCUGAUAAGGCAUCUGGAUAUUUAUUCCUCCAACCCAACUCCAAUCGCCCCCUUUUGUGUUUGCCCAGGUAGAGGAAAAUCUCCAGUCCACUCCCAUCUGUUUGCCUCAUCCAGGCCAUGGAAGGAUCACUACUACAAUAAAAUUCCUGAGACUGCCAAGACCCAGGAACCUUGGGUCUGUGUAACACAUGUACCUGGUGCCCAAGGAAGCCAGAAGAGGAUAUCAGAACCCCUGGGCUGGCUUUACACAGUCAUUUUCCAUCACCUCAGUGCUGGGAGCUGAACCUCAGUCCUCUGAAAGAGUAGCUAGUGCUCCUAACUGUUGAGACAUCUCUCCAGCACCCAGAAGACCACAAGAGAAUGCCUAGGAGUAACAAAGUGAACAGCAUCUCUGCUCCUGGUUUGACACUUACAGUCUAGAAAGUUUCCAUGUGUGAUGAACAGGACCUCUGUCUCCCCUUGGGAGCUUAAGCAAGCUGUGGUAGACCACAGGAACCAAUGGAAAUACCGCAUCCUAUUUAUGCUGGAUCACAUUUCAUCAUCUCUGACAAAUGCAGUCUUUGGGGAAGAAUAUUAACAACCAUGGGGGACACAGUAGUUGUUUGGAGACACCCGCAAUAAAUAGCCAAGAAUUAUUUU
rnacentral:lncRNA from 1 species